UACGGAGGGGGCUAGCGUUGUUCGGAAUUACUGGGCGUAAAGCGCACGUAGGCGGCUUUGUAAGUUAGAGGUGAAAGCCCGGGGCUCAACUCCGGAAUUGCCUUUAAGACUGCAUCGCUAGAACGUCGGAGAGGUAAGUGGAAUUCCGAGUGUAGAGGUGAAAUUCGUAGAUAUUCGGAAGAACACCAGUGGCGAAGGCGACUUACUGGACGACUGUUGACGCUGAGGUGCGAAAGCGUGGGGAGCACACAGG
rnacentral:rRNA from 1 species